rnacentral:lncRNA from 1 species
UUCUUUUCUCCUCCCUUCUUGUUCCCUAUUAUUAGGGUUUUGUUGGAAUAAUUUUUCUACCGUACACCACUAUCAGUUGAAGCUGCCAGCAUGAUCUAAACUUACCUCUUGUAAUUAAUUAAGUUUGAGGGAAGAUUAGAUCAUGUGGUAGCUUCACCCGUUAGUUGGUACUACGAAAAUACCCUUAUUAUUAUUAUUCCUCAUAAAACCCUAAUUUCUUGAAUACUGUUGUAUUGCUCUUCCCACCAUAUAAUUAUAGAUGCAGGUUAUUUCCUCGGGAUGAAGAAAAAGGGUAAUGUUCUAAUCUAGUUUCUUGGAUUUUCUUAGUAUGAAUUUCAUCUGGAAUGAUUUCUUAUUUUUUAUCGUCACUUGAAAAGAAUUUAUACCUGUUAAUCCAACAUCUAUCCUGCCAAAUAUUAUGCUAGAAUGGUAUAUUUUACCUGAAAAAUUGGGACGUAUUUUUGGUUCUCGUUUGAUUAUCGAUUCUUGCUCUUGUUUUUUCAAUUCUUCUCAAAUACUUUUGAAUGCUUUCGUAUUUUUAGAAUUUAGUAGAAGAGAAUACCAAUGGUUUUGUUGGUGUUGGUAUUUUGAUUCUGAGUUAUCAAUCUCAUAAUUAUUGUGAAGAUUCCUAAAUAUGCUUCGAGGGGUGAGCCUCAAUAAAACCAAGAUUUUCUCCGUACUGUUUCCUCUGCUAAUUUUGUUGCCGCAGAAAAUGGACCGAAUUUUGAUAUUUCACGUUUUUAUUUUUAUUUUUGAGGCUGCCGUUUGUUUUAGUACUGAUGAUUUUGACAUGACCUUAUUCUUCUUCCAUCUUCUUUUAACCUAAGGUUGCUUCCCUGCUUAUUCACCGUUGUUCUAAAGUAAAGUGAAUUAUGGAUCUUUUGUUUCCAAUAUACAUUAAGUGUUCUUCAAACUUGCUAAAGUAAAGAUUUUCCUUGAGCUGCUAAAAUCAAGGAGAAAGGAAGGUGGAAAUGUUGGAGAUCUAAUUUGCAUAAUGACAUCAUACUUUGAACAUUUAAAUAUCAUGGUUUUCUCGACUGUGAAAUGAAAUGAUUUUAUCCUACAUUCUUUAAAAUAUGGAAGAGACACGGAGACCUUUAAUUAUGAGAACCAGUACGGUAUAACACCACAAACGAUCAUUUAAUUCCUCUUUAUGGUUUAUUAUUUCUUUAUUUUGGACGAAAUGAUGCUAAACGAUUACAAUGACUAAGUGCAAUGGACACCUUAAAGGGGAAGGAAAAAAAGAAGAAGGAAGAAAUAUAUAUUAAACAUUAAUGUUACUCAAUUAUAUUACUUAAACACUAGAACUUUUUUCUCUUCUGGAAAUUCCUGAUGUAAAAUAGGAUUGAGGGAGACAAGUUAGGGAGUAGGAACUAAAUCCUCAUUUUUUUAAAAAUAUUUGUGGAUCGGAAAUAUAUAUAUAUAUAUAUAUACACUUGUUUUUCCAUAGUUUCAGUUCAUCCCAUGUGUUGUUACAAGUGUUUGUCUUAUGCUCCUACAUCGUGAGAUCAUAUUUGUGUCAACAAUAAACCAAAAAAUGGAAGGGCUAGCUGUUUCAACUACCAGUGGAUCUGAGUGAGUACAAAAAUGAAACAGCAGACUUGUCUUACGUAUAGAUUCUAUUGUCCUAAGCAUCUAGCAUAUCUGCCUCUGCAAUUAUAAUCAAAUUAUAUCUUUCUGUUUAUUUCUUUUGGCAUCACUAAAGAGCGACAGCCCCACAUUUUUGUGACACCAAUUUCUUCUUUUCAAUUUGAAAAGAAGGCAAAAACAUUUUUUGUCGUUUAGAUUAACAAAUAACUCCGCUAUGAGCUUGUUCAUAUUGCCUAACGCAAACUUGAACAAAGGAGCAGAGUUGUAAUAGGUUGACAGUCAAUCUAUAUUUAGUGCUUAUUUUUAUUUUUGUUAUACUUAAUAAUGGACUGAGAUGAGUUCAAAUGGGCAGAAAUUCAAAAAUAAUCAGAUUUACGGUGGUAAUUGAAAAAUAGCCACAGUUUCAAAAGUAAUCGAAAUUUAGCCACUUUUCAUGUAAAGAUAAAUCUGAACGAAAACACUGUUCAAAAUCCGGAAAAUAGUCCAGCAUAAUAUACUGGAACUAUACUGGAGUUCCAGUAUAAUAUACCGGUCCAGCAUAAUAUGCUGGAAGUUCAUACGUAGGUGCUCCAAUUUCCAGUAUAUUAUGCUGGAACUUUUCGCGUGUUGGAGUUCCAGCAUAAUAUGCUGGAAGUUCAUACACAAGUGCACCAAUCUCCAGUAUAUUAUGCUGGACCGGUCCGUUUUGUAACAAAAUAGUGGCUAUCUUUCAAUGACUUUACAAACGCCGGCUAUUUUUCAAUUACCAGUCCGAAAACUGACUAGCCCGUGCUAAUUUUACGUUAAAAUGGAGCAAUAUGACCAAUAAAGAUUCACAUUGCAGACCACAACUUGCUUGUGGUUUAUCCGCAAUUGUUAUUGUUGCUGUAAUACUAACAAAUCAUCCCCUCCCACCUCAUACUUCAAAGGGAUGUUUAGAGCAAGAUUAAUGAACAGCCAAAGAAAAACGUUACCAUUCGCUACACAAAAUGUCUAUACGUUUCCAUCAAGAUUUUCUUUAUGUGGAAUCAUAAUAGACAGCUUGGAAUACAACAAAUUUUCUAUUAAAAAAAGAUGCAUGCAUGUGAAAUCACAGAGGCCCUUUUUUGAUUAGUAGAUACAACCCACAAAAGUUAUGCCCUUUUUUGAUUAGUAGAUACAACCCAAAAAAGUUAUCUCCCUCACCCCCCACUCCUUACUCCAUUGUGUUUUUUUUCUUUCUCUGAUGGUGAAAUGAAACUGUUUUGUAUACAUAUGCAUUAUGCACAAUUCAGUUGAGCAAGACUAUUAAGUUUGUCUUGUUUUUCUAGUUAGGAAGGUUCAUAUUUGGGCAAGAAUCUUGAGAGCUUUCUUGUACUUAGUAAAAGAAAAGAUAUGCAUAUAAAAGUUAUUUGAUUCUUUCCUUAAUUACUUCUCCAAUAUGAUUCUUGGUUUGGUUAUUUAUUUACUCUUGAUGGAAAUAAGAAGAAAAAAUCAGUUUACUUCUAGGGUUUUGUUGCAUUCUACAAAUGGAAUGGUCCCCUGAAGUGACAUCCAGCUAGGCAUUUCAAUUCAUCAGUUACUCCAAGAACUCAAUAUUAAGGGACUGAAAGAGACGUAGUGAAGCAAAUGUUCAUAUAG